rnacentral:rRNA from 1 species
GAUGAACGCUGGCGGCGUGCCUAAUACAUGCAAGUCAAGCGAACAGAUGAGGAGCUUGCUCCUCUGACGUUAGCGGCGGACGGGUGAGUAACACGUGGAUAACCUACCUAUAAGACUGGGAUAACUUCGGGAAACCGGAGCUAAUACCGGAUAAUAUAUUGAACCGCAUGGUUCAAUAGUGAAAGACGGUUUUGCUGUCACUUAUAGAUGGAUCCGCGCCGCAUUAGCUAGUUGGUAAGGUAACGGCUUACCAAGGCAACGAUGCGUAGCCGACCUGAGAGGGUGAUCGGCCACACUGGAACUGAGACACGGUCCAGACUCCUACGGGAGGCAGCAGUAGGGAAUCUUCCGCAAUGGGCGAAAGCCUGACGGAGCAACGCCGCGUGAGUGAUGAAGGUCUUCGGAUCGUAAAACUCCGUUAUUAGGGAAGAACAAAUGUGUAAGUAACUAUGCACGUCUUGACGGUACCUAAUCAGAAAGCCACGGCUAACUACGUG